UCCAUGGUCGAAUGGUAAGAUUACUUACCUUUCACCCUGGAGUCCCGGGUUCGAUUCCCGGUCGAGGAG
rnacentral:tRNA from 1 species